AGCCGAACUUUUUGUCAGUGCGAACCUCAACCUGAGCUAGGUUUUAAAAACAAACGAUCAAACUGACGUUUGCAAGAAAACAAGCAGACCCGAUCUUGAUACCCGAUUCAGGUUGGAACUGAAUAAUAAACAAAUUCGCUAUUAUUUAGUAGCCUAGUGCGGUACUGUGCGCGAUUUAAGUUUCAACAAAAAGCCGUUUGACGGCUUUUUGUCUAUAGUUUCGUCCCACCUCCCGCUCGGCAUACCGCGCCGCCUCGUUAUUACCACUACCCUGGCCCCACG